UUGUUAUUUAAUUUAAUUUAAAUUUUUUUGGGGGUAUAUUUUAACGUUAUCUGCCACGCCACUCGUUACGUAGGCUUUCACUUAAAUUUUAAAUUUUUUGUGCACCAACCAACCAACCAAAACACAGAGUAUUAAAAAAGAUGGAUUGGUAGAGCAGAGAUUAAAGCAAAGACAUUAUCAAAACACGAAGAACUCGCUAAGGGAAAACCCAUUUAUUGGUUAUGUAAGAGAAGUUGUGAUAAAUGAAGAUAACUAUCAAGAAGAGUAGCCAGAGUGAAGCAACCAAAACUAUGAUGGUCUAGGUGUUCUUUUUCUGCAUUUAGUGCCUAAAUUUUUUGAUUUUAUUUCCAAUUGUUGCCUGGAGUUAUAUACAUAUGCAUGAUUAAUAUUCUUUGUUAGAAACUAGGUAAUAUAGUUAUGAUUUAAACCUUAAGGUGGCAUUUGCAUAACUGGAUGGAUGGAUGGACUUGAAAUAAAUGAAUUUGAGGUUCAAUUUACAAUUAUAUAGGAUUAAUUAGCUAUAGAAGUUAGACUGAGAGACCUAAUGGGGAGCUAUUUUAUUAAGAUCCUUGUGCAAGUAGAAUCUUAUAUUUUAUUCUUUUUCCAGUUUUUCCUUGAGAUUGCCUUCAGAUACUCUCUUUAUCUUUCCAUUCCAUCAGCAUAUGCUCCUAGAUUAUCCUUGAGUGUUGUUGAAACUGAAACUGAAAAUGUAAGUUGUUAAAUACUUGAAUCUAAAUUUAAGCUAUUAUAGCUCCUCCAUUGCUUGAAUAUAAUCCCUUAUUUUCUAAUGGGGCCCAUGGAGAUAUUGUACGAGAUGUUGAAUAUUGGGGCAAGGGAGGAUUCAUUGAGAUGGAUUCUAUUUAGAUUGGGUUUCUUUCAAGUAAAAUCUUAUUAUGAAUCAUUGGU